rnacentral:rRNA from 1 species
CACGUAGUUAGCCGGGGCUUCUUACUCAGGUACCGUCAUUUUCUUCCCUGCUGAUAGAGCUUUACGUAACGAAUUACUUCUUCACUCACGCGGCGUCGCUGCAUCAGGGUUUCCCCCAUUGUGCAAUAUUCCCCACUGCUGCCUCCCGUAGGAGUCUGGGCCGUGUCUCAGUCCCAAUGUGGCCGUCCGCCCUCUCAGGCCGGCUACUGAUCGUCGCCUUGGUGGGCCGUUACCCCGCCAACAAGCUAAUCAGACGCGGGUCCAUCUUACACCACCGGAGUUUUUCACACCGCUUCAUGCGAAGCUGUGCGCUUAUGCGGUUUUAGCACCUAUUUCUAAGUGUUAUCCCCCUGUGUAAGGCAGGUUGCCCACGCGUUACUCACCCGUCCGCCACUAACCCAUAUAUCACUAGGUUUCAAUAUGGGUCCGUUCGACUUGCAUGUGUUAAGCACGCCGCCAGCGUUCAUCCUGAGCCAGGAUCAAACUCU